ACGCUCGACACCUACGGGAGGCAGCAGUGAGGGAUAUUGGUCAAUGGGGGAAACCCUGAACCAGCAACGCCGCGUGAGGGAUGACGGUCUUCGGAUUGUAAACCUCUGUCCUCUGUGAAGAUAAUGACGGUAGCAGAGGAGGAAGCUCCGGCUAACUACGUGCCGGCAGCCGCGGUAAUCUGAGCGGNUGCAGC
rnacentral:rRNA from 1 species